GACAACGGGAGACACCCUUGAACAGGCGUGGAUCUUCUUCUUCAACACUCAUCUCCAAGACCUCUCCUCCCUCACCACUGCAACUCGCCGGAGAAGAACCAGCCAAAGCCCUCAUCUCCUUCACCCUACACUACCUCCCACACCCCUCACUAGAACAACCAACCAGCGACCCCUCAUCUCCUUCACCUCUCAAUCACCAAACCAACAGUUGCCGCUAGACGCCACCCAGCUCGCCGGAAAAUGAGCUGCAAUAGUCGUCACUCCUCUCCAAAACUUCAUAGCCACCAAACUCCAAAAUAAACUUAGUUCAAACAAUACUACCUAAAAAUGCCAUAGAACACCAAAUCCAGCUGGGUCGUCAAAUCUAGGAUUUAUAAAUUACCCUCAAACACACGCACAGUAAUAGAAAAACAGAGUAGGAAACGGGAAACUGAGGUUCGAGAUUCUGUUGGAGAACCAGUCCGAAGAUCCGUGCGGUGGUUCCGUCGAGGUCCGAGCUUUGGUCCGAUAAAGUUUCUGUUCGGAUUUCUUGUACGUCGGCUCUGGUUGGUCAUUUAAUGAGAGUUCGUGAUUCAAUCCUUUGGAUUUGAACAAGUAUAACUUGUUUUGGAACACUGGAUGAGUGUGGGAUUUAGGCUUAAAUAAAGCCAAAUGAAUGUGUGGAUCUACCUACCAUAGCUUGAGCAUGAUAGACGCCCCAGGACCAUCCAGUCAGGAUCACUGCAUUUAGGAGCUGCUUACGGAGAUUUUUUUAUGUUUUGAGUCUGUUUUUUUAAUGUUGUCUUGUACUUUAUAGUCGUGUCCAGUUGUACUGAUUCUUUUAGUUGGUGUCAGAGUUUGUCGCAGUAUAGUUGAGUUU